rnacentral:rRNA from 1 species
UGGGGAAUUUUGGACAAUGGGCGAAAGCCUGAUCCAGCCAUACCGCGUGCGGGAAGAAGGCCUUCGGGUUGUAAACCGCUUUUGUCAGGGAAGAAAUCUUCUGGGCUAAUACCUCGGGAGGAUGACGGUACCUGAAGAAUAAGCACCGGCUAACUACGUGCCAGCAGCCGCGGUAAUACGUAGGGUGCGAGCGUUAAUCGGAAUUACUGGGCGUAAAGCGUGCGCAGGCGGUUAUGUAAGACAGAUGUGAAAUCCCCGGGCUCAACCUGGGAACUGCGUUUGUGACUGCAUAACUAGAGUACGGCAGAGGGAGGUGGAAUUCCACGUGUAGCAGUGAAAUGCGUAGAUAUGCGGAGGAACACCAAUGGCGAAGGCAAUCCCCUGGACCUGUACUGACGCU